rnacentral:lncRNA from 1 species
GAAAAACAUAGACUCCUCAAGUGAGUUUGUUUAUAGGAAGUUGAUCAACGGAACUGCAGUAAAAAUAAAGAAAUUCAUACAUAAAUUCGCUUGCAAGGAAAGUUAACAAAGAGAAUUUACAGUUAAGGAGAAAAGAGCUGUGUGAGAAAGCAUUGCAUAUAACCUAAAUGUGCAAAAGCAAUGCAGAAAUGAUAAGGGUGUGAAUCGAUUGGAAAUGUGCCAUGAGAAACGAAAGAAAGAAGAAACAGCUUGUCCAAAAGAGUUAAAUGAUCUUAAGAAGAGGUUACUUCAUUUAGUUGAUAGCAUAUCCAUUUAAGGAAUGGUCCUUAAAGAAAUAAGUUCAAGGAAGAUGUUGAUGACUCUGCCAGUAAGGAAGAAUCUGUGAAUUUGUGGCUAAACAUGACAAAUUAAAUACCACUAAUGAGUUAGAAAAUGAAAAUAAAAUGUAUAAAAAAAAUCACUAAUAGACAUAACAAUCAAAGUCCAAGGCAGUGUAUGGCCCUGCAUUAUUAUGAAUGUUUCCAUUUAGAGCAGUUUUAAUAUCUUGGUGAAAAAAUUUGCCAACUUCUAGAAGACAUUAAAACUGUGUAUGCUGGCUAUGCAAAGAAGGGUUUAGAGCUAAAAUUCAUAAAUGAACCAACAGUGGAAAGUGAGAACAUUGAAGAUUUAAUGCCACCGAAAAACGCUGCCCUUCAAGAUGAUUAAAUGCAGUUAAUUGAGGAUGGUGAUGAUGUGUGGGGUUACUAACUGAUGAUGAAACUCAACUGAGAUGUCUUGCAAUAGUUAAUGGGGACAAGCAGCUCUAUUUUUAUUUAACUUUUUUUUUAAUACUGUACCAGUUUUAAAUAUUACAUCAUUUCAUAAGGGAUUUUGGAGAGAUUUGAAACAAUUAUAGAUCUGAAAUAUCAGCCAUAUAUUAAAAGCUAUGACAAAAGGAAUGAUUCUUUUGGCAAGUUAUAUCAUAAAUUUUUACCCAAAUAUACCACAAAAAAGUAUAAAACUUUCAAUUUGUUCAACCAAACAUCAUAAAGCUUAUUCUUCUUUAUAAAAUGCAUCUGGAAUUAAACAUUUUUACAUUUGUUUUAAGUGUUUAGAAACUUUCAUCUUAAAUGUUGAAAUUUUAUUGUGGAUUUGGUAAAUUUGUAUUAUGACAAUGAAUUAUAAACAUCUAAUUGAUCUCAAUAUAAGUUUUUUUUAUAAAAUUAAAAAUGCGCUUCAGAAAACUAUAUCCAUCUAAUUUAUGCAGUAUAAUAUUUAAUAAAUAAAAUAAUUUAUUACUUUUUCUUUAAUUUUUAUGCUAAAAGAAAAUAUGAUUAUUUUGGUUUAUUGUAAAGUAUGAAACUUAAUUAUCUUUAAAGGUAUUUUCAUAUUAUUCUCCUGUGUUUGAGACUGUUUUAUGUGAAAGCACUCUAUUACCUUCAUCUCAAAAUGUGAAAGCACUAUGUUUCCUUCAUCCCGAAACAGCUUCAUUAGAGCAGAGCUAUCUUAUAUGCUUGAAUAUUUUAUAUAUUCUGACCAGUAUGGUAAAUAAAACAGAAUUCACAGUACAGCCUCCAGUUUAUAAUUUUGAAAUACUAUUAUAAUUAAUGUUAAAUUUAAAACUUUAUAGUUUUCAUAUAUAGAGCAUAAUUACUUCCUUUUUAUUAUUGUCUUUCUGUUAUUUAAAUGACAUCAAGAUUUUCAUCACAUUUUUAUUGAGAAAAAUGGACAUAGCAACCAUAUUUACUUCUCUUUUAAGCAUAUACCCAUUUUUUUCUGGACUGUAAGUCUUCGCCUUGAUUUCCAUAAUAGGAGGGCUUUUUGUAAAAUUUCCUGGGGCUUUGAUUUCUUUUCUCUUUUCAUUACAUUCUGAGGUCCAUCAAUUAUUUUUGGUUUGACGUUAGAAAAAGCUGCUUUCAAGAGACCACAUGUCUAUAGUCUAUAGGUUAAAUAUUGGGGAACUGUGUAGGAAUACAUUGGAAAUGUAUACAUGUAAUAACUUUAUCAGUCUUAAUUUUUCUAGGAAUGCAAUGAUACUUUUUGAAAUAUGACAUGUUGCUUUAUCUUGAUGAAAUUUCACCCUAUGAGAGUCAUUGGGAUAAAGAAGUGGAAUUUUUUCUGUAGGUAUUAGACAUAAAGCUUUCUCUUGAUAGUAUGUUGUUGAUUUUAACAUUUUCCCCAUUCUUCUUAUUUUUAAUGCCCUUUUGCAAGCGAAUUCUGCAACCUGUACUUCAUUAAUGAUCACUAUAUGUUUCCAUUUGUCUCCCGCUAAAUAGUUUUCAUACAGGGUUCUACAAAUUGUUCAGUGUUGUGCCACGUACUUCAGUAAAACUAGUGAACGUUAUGUUUUUAAGUUUUUUUAAAUUGUAAAAAUUAGUUCAUUAUUUUAUUUUUUGUUGCUACAGAUGUAUUUAAAGACUUUGCAACUCAUUUCUGCAUCAGUGGAUUUUCAUUUGUUACCAACAAUUUAACUUCAGAAACAGUAUGUACCUUUUUCAGGUCUUUGUAUUUUAAGUCUUUGUUGGAGUAAUGAUUGACAGUUUUCCCCUUUCCAAUUAAUAGUAUUGCAUAUUUUGCAUUUUGAAAUUUUAAUAAUAUGCAUUUCACAACAUUUUUUAAUUAUUGAUUAGGAAUAUUUCUCUUCAGGAAGCACAACAACCUAUCCUUCAAUCCACAGAUUGUUUUCAUGUGACAUUUUGAAAGAAUAAAUUUAAAAGGACAGUCAAAAUUUCUCAUUGCAAAUAAUGAGCUGUUGCCAGAAAUUUUUAUUCCAAAACAUUUGCUCUUUAAAAUUCUUUAUUGAAAUUAUUUUAAAAGUAUGUAAGCACUCUCUGGGAAUCUGAUGUAUUUUAUGCUACAUUUAUGCACUGGAAAUAUGUAUUUCUUGGUCUUAUUUCCUUUUGUAUUGCACACUGUUUAUCAAUUUAGUUUUCAUUGUGUUAAAUUGAUAAUCCACAGAUAUUCUUAUAUAUUUAUUGUAUCAUAAUAUUGACCAAUUUGCAAACCUGAGAAAUGCAACUAUUAAUUUCUUUGCUUAUUUUAAAAUUAUUUUAAUCAUAUUUAACAGUUCUAGAUGUAAGAAUUUUCUAAAUAUUUAUGUUAUGUGUUCCAUAAUAGGAAGAGGAAUAUUUAUGUAUGCAACAGGUUUUUAGAACAAGUUCAUAUAUAAAUAUUUAAUUCUAAUUUCUUUUGAAGCAUGGUAUUCCAUGUUAAGACUUUUUUUUAAACAUUUUUCAUUGUUUGAAUUUUGCACCUAAUAUUGUUCUGCUUUAUUUUAUUUUUGAAUUAAAAUUGUAUUUAAAAUUUAUUCAAACUUUUAUUAACUGGUUUUAACUUUUUUUGCCUUUAAUAAUUUUAUCUUGCCUGUAUGUCACUCUAGGUUUCUAUUUUUUAAACUUAUAAUGCUAUAAUAUGCAUUUUAUUAAUGUAUUCAUUCAUUAUUCAUUUUCUUAUUUGACUUCAUUGCAUUUUGGCCACUUUUUAUUGAGAGGAUUAAAAAAUAUGUAUCUCCUCCAUGUUUAUAAUAUGCAUUUUAUUAAUGUAUUCAUUCAUUAUCAUUUUCUUAUUUGACUUCAUUGCAUUUUGGCCACUUUUUAUUGAGAGGAUUAAAAAAUAUGUAUCUCCUCCAUGUUAAUUUAUAUAAAUAAUAAUAUAGAUUUUUAUUAAUUCAUAUUCAUUGUGUGUUUUCAUUUCUUUUAUUAUUUGACUUUAUUGCAUUUUGGCCAUCAUUUGAUAAGGAAGUGAAAAAGCUGUACCUUACUUUUUCAUAGACUAUAUGAUUUAUAAAAAAGAAAAUCUUAUGUUAUUUGCAAGCAUUUUACAUGCUUUAACUGUGAGAUUGAGUAAAAAGGAAUUAAAGCACAAUUUAUUAUAUUUUUAAA